GUCUGAUGCAGCAACGCCGCGUGGAGGAUGACACAUUUCGGUGCGUAAACUCCUUUUAUAUGAGAAGAUAAUGACGGUAUUAUAUGAAUAAGCACCGGCUAACUCCGUGCCAGCAGCCGCGGUAAUACGGGGGGUGCAAGCGUUACUCGGAAUCACUGGGCGUAAAGAGCAUGUAGGCGGAUUAAUAAGUUUGAAGUGAAAUCCUAUAGCUUAACUAUAGAACUGCUUUGAAAACUGUUAAUCUAGAAUGUGGGAGAGGUAGAUGGAAUUUCUGGUGUAGGGGUAAAAUCCGUAGAGAUCAGAAGGAAUACCGAUUGCGAAGGCGAUCUACUGGAACAUUAUUGACGCUGAGAUGCGAAAGCGUGGGGAGCAAACAGGAUUAGAUACCCUGGUAGUCCACGCCCUAAACGAUGUACACUAGUUGUUGUGAGACUUGAUCUUGCAGUAAUGCAGUUAACACAUUAAGUGUACCGCCUGGGGAGUACGGUCGCAAGAUUAAAACUCAAAGGAAUAGACGGGGACCCGCACAAGCGGUGGAGCAUGUGGUUUAAUUCGACGAUACACGAAGAACCUUACCUGGACUUGACAUAGUAAGAACUUUCUAGAGAUAGAUUGGUGUCUGCUUGCAGAAACUUAUAUACAGGUGCUGCACGGCUGUCGUCAGCUCGUGUCGUGAGAUGUUGGGUUAAGUCCCGCAACGAGCGCAACCCUCGUGUUUAGUUGCUAACAGUUCGGCUGA
rnacentral:rRNA from 1 species